CUCCCCCUUUACCCCCGCCCCCUUUAUAGGUUUUUGUUCCCUGCUCAGGACGAACGCUGGCGGCGUGCCUAAUACAUGCAAGUCGAGCGGACAGAUGGGAGCUUGCUCCCUGAUGUUAGCGGCGGACGGGUGAGUAACACGUGGGUAACCUGCCUGUAAGACUGGGAUAACUCCGGGAAACCGGGGCUAAUACCGGAUGGUUGUUUGAACCGCAUGGUUCAAACAUAAAAGGUGGCUUCGGCUACCACUUACAGAUGGACCCGCGGCGCAUUAGCUAGUUGGUGAGGUAACGGCUCACCAAGGCAACGAUGCGUAGCCGACCUGAGAGGGUGAUCGGCCACACUGGGACUGAGACACGGCCCAGACUCCUACGGGAGGCAGCAGUAGGGAAUCUUCCGCAAUGGACGAAAGUCUGACGGAGCAACGCCGCGUGAGUGAUGAAGGUUUUCGGAUCGUAAAGCUCUGUUGUUAGGGAAGAACAAGUACCGUUCGAAUAGGGCGGUACCUUGACGGUACCUAACCAGAAAGCCACGGCUAACUACGUGCCAGCAGCCGCGGUAAUACGUAGGUGGCAAGCGUUGUCCGGAAUUAUUGGGCGUAAAGGGCUCGCAGGCGGUUUCUUAAGUCUGAUGUGAAAGCCCCCGGCUCAACCGGGGAGGGUCAUUGGAAACUGGGGAACUUGAGUGCAGAAGAGGAGAGUGGAAUUCCACGUGUAGCGGUGAAAUGCGUAGAGAUGUGGAGGAACACCAGUGGCGAAGGCGACUCUCUGGUCUGUAACUGACGCUGAGGAGCGAAAGCGUGGGGAGCGAACAGGAUUAGAUACCCUGGUAGUCCACGCCGUAAACGAUGAGUGCUAAGUGUUAGGGGGUUUCCGCCCCUUAGUGCUGCAGCUAACGCAUUAAGCACUCCGCCUGGGGAGUACGGUCGCAAGACUGAAACUCAAAGGAAUUGACGG
rnacentral:rRNA from 1 species